UAUUUGCUCCGUAGAUAGAUGGAAACUUUCAGCAGUUCUUCUAACAAAUAAAAUCAAUUUAUUAAGAAACUAUUUUAAAACAUGUGUUGAAAAUUAACCCUUAAGAGGAUUUUGCAAUUUUUUUCUUUUCCAAGGUAAAAUUCGCUGCACAAUGAAUUCCACUCAUUCGGAUGUGCUCCUAGGAUUGGCGGUUGGUUUUGUGCUUGCUGUAGUAGCCCAUAUGGCUACUGAAACUUACUCCGAAAAUAAGAAUGAGACGGCAGAUCCAGGCCCAGAUAAAGACCCUAAGCGAAACCCUAAACGCAAAGGCCAACGUCCAGGUCUAAAUAUACAAUUUAACUUUUCCUACGAGAAUCACUAUCACAAUUAAAAUGACCAAUUUAAAGCCGAAUGAACAUCACCCAUGAACUUACACGGUACAUACACACAAUGCAUUCAAGUACGGUGGAUUGGGUAUCAAUUACUCGGUGGUUACAUGCAAUCCAUCACUUUCAAAAAUUAUCAUCACGAAAUUGAUCAAUCAAUAAUAGAGAAUGCUAAUUUGCUUUACUUAAAAAAAUACAUUUUUUAUCUUCCAUGAAA